rnacentral:rRNA from 1 species
GACAGAGGGGGCAAGCGUUGCUCGGAAUUACUGGGCGUAAAGGGCGCGUAGGCGGGAUGGUAAGUCGGUCGUGAAAUCCCUCGGCUCAACCGAGGAACGUCGAUCGAUACUACCGUUCUUGAGGAUUGCAGAGGAGACUGGAAUUCCCGGAUGUAGCGGUGAAAUGUGUAGAGAUCGGGAGGAACACCGGUGGCGAAGGCGGGUCUCUGGGCAAUUCCUGACGCUGAGGCGCGAAAGCGUGGGGAGCAAACGGGG